AAGAUAUUAGUAAAAUAUUACCUAGCUUUGUCAGGGCUAAAUUACAGGUUAAUCUCCUGUAUAUCUUU
ensembl:Mt_tRNA